UCCAGACUCCUACGGGAGGCAGCAGUGAGGAAUAUUGGUCAAUGGGCGGGAGCCUGAACCAGCCAAGUCGCGUGAGGGGAGACGGUCCUACGGAUUGUAAACCUCUUUAGGCGGGGAGCAAUGCCGGGCACGCGUGUCCGGAGGGAGAGUACCCGCAGAAUAAGCAUCGGCUAACUCCGUGCCAGCAGCCGCGGUAAUACGGAGGAUGCGAGCGUUAUCCGGAUUUAUUGGGUUUAAAGGGUGCGUAGGCGGAUUUUUAAGUCAGCGGUAAAAUGUCCGGGCUCAACCCGGGCCGGCCGUUGAAACUGGGGAUCUUGAGUGGGCGAGAAGUAUGCGGAAUGCGUGGUGUAGCGGUGAAAUGCAUAGAUAUCACGCAGAACUCCGAUUGCGAAGGCAGCAUACCGGCGCCCGACUGACGCUGAGGCACGAAAGCGUGGGGAUCGAACAGGAUUAGAUACCCUAGUA
rnacentral:rRNA from 1 species